GGGGGCGACUGGUUUCGACGGGGAUCAGUGAGGUGCAGGCGGCAUCCCGAGGUGCUCUCUCCUCGUAAAACCGGGGGCACAGUACUAGCUGCCAACACACAGCUAGCCCUGGCGGCCUAACACCCGCCAGCGUCCUCCGGGUCGAGUCAUCAGGGCCCGGUCAAGGGCGUCAUACUCUGGUGACUGGCUCCGAGCCCCGCUCCGGGGUGAGGGGCGAGAUCUCGAGGAGCUGGCCGCCCGACAAUCCCGCCGGCUGGAGGGGCGGGCGGCGAGAGCGGAAGUAAGCCGGACACGGAUGUAGAUGCCUGCUGCCGAGGGUUUCCGGACGUGGGUUCGAUGCCCACCGCCUCCACCA
rfam:Candidatus Rokubacteria bacterium GWC2_70_16 gwc2_scaffold_28969, whole genome shotgun sequence.